rnacentral:rRNA from 1 species
AUUGAACGCUGGCGGCAGGCCUAACACAUGCAAGUCGAACGAGUGGCGGACGGGUGAGUCAUGUCUGGGAAACUGCCUUAUGGAGGGGGAUAACUACUGGAAACGGUAGCUAAUACCGCAUACCAUCGGAUGUGCCCAGAUGGGAUUAGCUAGUCGGUGGGGUAAAGGCUCACCUAGGCGACGAUCCCUAGCGGGUCUGAGAGGAUGAUCAGCCAAACUGGAACUGAGACACGGUCCAGACUCCUACGGGAGGCAGCAGUGGGGAAUAUUGCACAAUGGGCGCAAGCCUGACGCAGUCAUGCCGCGUGUAUGAAGAAGGACUGCGGGUUGUAAAGUACUUUCAGCGGGGAGGCGUUACCCGCAGAAGAAGCAACGGCUAACUCCGUGCCAGCAGCCGCGGUAAUUC